UUUGAGCCAUAAAUUAUAUUUGUUUUCAUCACCCUCGACAAGAAUCAGUAGCACAUCGAUGUCAACCUAAAGGGUACAUCAAGGGCAUCCAGAACCAAGGAGAGAAUUUCUGAAAAAAAAAAAAAAGAGGAGAAGGAAAAAGAAACGAAAAAUAAAGUCUCAAAGAAGUACACAACAGAGACAACGAAGCAAGCGACCCAAAAAGGGAAAGAAAAGAAGAUGAAAAAAAAACACCAAAGAAAAAAAAACACAAUGAAAAUAAAAGGAUGCUCGAAGUUUCAAAUCUCUAGGGAUAGUUGACUCGACACCUUGCAAGUGGUUCUUGUUGAAACAAUUUAACUGUCAAACACUUAUUUGGGCCUUCAUUUUCCGUUUCUUUCAAAACCCUAUGACCUUUAGCUACGGUACAAGCCAAUAAAAGUCCACGCUGACUGAAGACUGUUUGUCCUAAUCUUUCUCAUGAAUUUAACCCUGAAACGAAAUGAUGCGGUGAAUGACACAAUCACUCAAAAAAAAAAACAAAAAAAAAAACAAAAACAAAAACAAAAACAAAAACAAAAAAAAGGAAAGAAAAUGAAAACAAAGAAAAAAAGAGGAAAAUGUGUGAAGUCUCCCCGUCAAUCAAGAAUCACCAAAUUGGGGCAAUCCUUCCUACUCGAACCUUUCCACCUCUCCUAAUCAAGUUUACUAUGCGCAACAAAAUUGGGGCAGCCCUUGCGGGCCAUGCAUGUUUAGAUACUAACAACACCUCCCAAGGUGAGAAAAAUUCAAAUGCUAAUGUUGCUCACAGGUAAUCAUUCGACCAUCU
rnacentral:lncRNA from 1 species